CGCUUCACUUUCCUCAUUCACGCUUUCCUCUUUCACUGAGCUAGCUGAACCUAAGUGAAGAGAGGUGAAGAGAGCUGAAGAACCAAAGAAACGAUUCUCUUCUCCGAUACAGAUUUGUGAGAAAAAGAUGUUGAAUAGUUGAUGUCGCCAAAGAUGAGCUGAAGAGUUGAAGUCAUCGAAGAGUUGAAGUCGCUGAAGAAAGAGGAAUAAGAAGGAAUUGAUUAUUUGGGGUUGUUGGCAAGAUGAACUGAAGCUAAUUAGUCUCUCCGUCAUGCUUUUCUCUCAAAUUUCUCACUGAAGAACACGAUUUCAGACAUAUUUUGUUGUAAUAGGGUUUAUUAGAUCAGUUUUCCCAAGCUU